rnacentral:lncRNA from 1 species
AUUUUAAUUUAGUAAUAUUUUAUAUAUUUUUAAAUUUAUUUAAUAUUAUAAAAUUUCUGAAAUGAGUGUGUUUCAUAUAAAAUUAGCGUGAAAUAUUGUAUCUGAUUUGUGAGAGUGCAUUUUCUAUUUUGUGUAUCGCUAUAUAUUUUUAUAUAUUAAUAAAAUUAUACCUGUCUAAAAGUUAUAUUCUGAAAUAUAAUUAAAAUAUUAUCUCUCCACAGCAUCGCGCGGGCCUUUACCUAGUACAAACUAACAAACAAAUCGUGCUCCAAGAGAGUCAUAUUCGAGAUUCACAGUCACAGCUCAGGAAAGAGAGUACCCAACAUUCAAACUGGACGUACCCUCGACACGGGAUGCAGUGGUUACGCUCAUGAAAAGUAGUUGUUCCUUGCAAUCUAAGCUACCGUUUAUUUCGGGGUUAAGAAAAAACUAGUUAUUCCAGGAAUAGGGUUAAGUUCAGGGUUAAGGUGGGGUUAGAGUAUUUUUGUGUUUGGUUGGGGGUUGGAGUAAGUCCAGAAUAGUAAAAAAUAGUGUUUGGUUAGAGUAGAUGGGAUAAGAAGGAUAGUGGGUUAUUAUGAAUAAAAAAUAGUAUUUGGUUGGGGUUUGGUGGGGUUAGCUAAUCCCACCCAAAAUGGACUAUCUCGGGUUAGGUGGGGUUAGCUAACCCCACCCGUUUUUUGGAGUGUUUGGGAUUAAUAUGGGGGUUAAGGGGUUAUUCCACCCCUUAACCUCCAACCAAACAAAGGCUAAGUAGGUGGUUGGUAUAUCUUUUGAAAAGUAAUUUGGGAUUCAAAAGUAAGUUUUUGGCUUAAUAGAACGUUUGAUAAUUUAAUUUUUAAAAUUUAAUUUUAAUUUUAAGUAUCAUAUUUUUUAUUUUCGAGGCCAAAAUUAGAAAAGACGGUUUAGUUUU